CCCGAGCUGUGUUUCUUCACAGCUAAAACUCAGCCUUUCUGCUUGUGACUUCAGCAGGAACGUGGGGGCUUCCUGCAAGAGUGAAUGCCUCCACUUGGAAGUUAACUUGCACUUAUAUAGGGGGCCAGAGCUCUCCCUGCUCUCUGAAGCCUCUGUGGGCUGCUCUCUCCUUGUGUUGCUUGGAAUUUCAUUGUAAAGGAGCCAUCUUGACUCUCUUCCUUUUAUCCACUCUUUGAAGCUGGGCUUCUAUUUAGACGGGUGGCAGCCUAGGGCUUCUCUCCUUGCUGGAGACUGGAGGUAGCAGUGGUGUUCCAGAGUCUCUACGAAGACAGGGCUCAGAGAUGGGGGAGAGUUCUUUCUGCUUCAACUUUGCUUGUGUGCCUGCCUUCUGUUUGUACAGUACUAAUGUACCAACCUGUAAAAUUGUUCAAUAAGCAGAAGUGAAUCCAGAUACGUACUGUCUGUCGUGUGAUAUUAAAAGUCAUCAUUAAUUCAUAUCGGAGAACUCUCACAAAGAGAUUUUAUUGUCGUAUUCUUUAGUGUUUUAGUAUCAUGGGGCAAAAUGAAGACGUGUGUUGUCCUUUUGGGGAGAAUAGUCUUGCCAGUUCUUUUUGUACGGUGAAAGUGGUGUUUUUUAAUAAUCAUGAAUUUUGAGACCUGGUGGGUAUCUUCUGAAGCAGAAUGAACAUGUAUUAGUAGAAGUGAUAAUUAUUGGAACUCUGUGGGAUAGCAGGCAUUGGUGGGAAUUUUUAGGCAUUCUUGGAGAUAUAAAUGCAAAUUCGUGGAGGUCGCUUAGGAAAUGAGAACAGUAGAAUUAGUCUAUACAAAAUUUGCUGUUUUCCCAGAAACUAGGGAUUGGACCAGAGCCCUGGUAUAGCUCGAACAGAAGUUAUUUGUGUAUGUCGAUAAACGAUUUGCACCAUUCUGAAGCUUAACAGAAAUAUUUUUCAAUAGGAAAAAACCUCUUGCCUUUGCAGCUCUUUAUUUUCCACAGCGGUGACAAGCAGCGAGAGAAUGUUUUUAAUUGAAAUCCCAGAAGUUGAUCUCAGCCAACUUUCAGUUGCUUCCCCUGUGCAGCAUUUUGCCAGAGUUUCAAACAAGCCUGUACAAGAAAGGAAAAGAAUGUGGUAUGCACAGAUACUAAAACACUGUGGAAACAACGCUGAUAUCUCUAGCUAAUUUAGUCACUGUGUUUCUCUCCCCAUUCCACAGAGGCUGAACAGAAGUGUAAUUCAUGCACUUUCCGUUCCCACAUCUCCGAUCUGGCCCUGUGCUGUGGGUUCUUCAUCUGUGCGAGGGCCGCCCUGGCUCACUUGCGCUACUCUGUCUGUGGCCUCAACUUUUUCUUUCUUGUCUUGCUGAUUGUUUUUGUUAGAGAGUCUUUCGUGUACGACUCUUGAGUUGCAAGUAGUACAAUGCUCAUGAACCAAAAAAAAAAAAAAAAAGGAAGAAAGAAAGAAAAGGUGUCUAUCUAAGGGUAUAAGGGUACCUGAGAGGUACCCAAGGUAAGGUAUUUUGUCAAGCCUCAGAAACACCCUGGGACUCAUGACUUGGAACUUCAUCAGGUUUCUCUGUAGGUGUCUCCUUUACCCCUUAAUGUGCUCUUGCUUCAGUUUUCUGUUCUUCUCUUCAAUUAGACUGAUCUACCUUCCCGAGCAGAGACUGGCUAUCUACAACGGUCAGCAUACAUUUCUUCCUCUCCCAGGCUCAGCCAGGCAGAGGCUGGAAUCUCUUAGUCCUUGUUGUAAAUUGCAGGGAGAAGGACUGUGAUUGGUUCCUAAGGUUCUGGACCAGUAAACUGUGGCCACUGCAAUGGAGUCCCAUGCAGAUAUGGUGGCUGGAGGUGUGUCUUUUUUAAUCAAUUGAUGGGAGUGAGACAAUGUCUAGAUAAGCAGAGGGGUUGCGGUAUUUGCCAGGCAACCCAGUGGUGUUCUCCACAGUUGGAUUUUAUGCUUGUUUAUUGAACUUCUUAUUAAUUGUCCCCCCCCCCCAGCCCUGCCCGCAUCACAACUACGGCUCCAUCAGAACCAGAACUGAGUCAAAAUGUGGUGAAUAUUUAUAUGCAUGGUGUUGGACAGCCAAAUAUGGCAAAGCAUUUGUGUCCAGUAUACUUGUAGUGAAUAUUUGAGUGCCUACCGUAUGCUAAGUCCUAUUUCCAGUCCAAUAGGAGACAACUAAUACAUGCCCCAUUUUCAUCCACACUUUAAUUACCUCUUCCCAAUUAUAACCCCCCCCCCCUUUUUUUGGUCUCACACUCACCCAUUGUGUUCAUUAUAGUUAAGUGAGAAGUUAGUUUGAAAGUCGGUUAGUGAUGUUUGAUUUAUGCCUUUCAUGUCUGUUGGGUGUGAUUUAAAGAGUUAAUGAGUUCAAAGAAACCUGACAUAGGAAAGAUUAGAGUAAGAAAUGGCAAGCGUCUUUGCAGUAAUAUCCAAGGCAUAAUGACUGGGUAUAAACUGCCCAUCACUUGUCCCAAAGGCGUGCAGAGCAAAAUUUCCCUGUAAGAUGGAAAGCCUAGUAUACUUUUGGACCAGGUGAUUGUAAUCAUGGGGCACAUGAUAAUGUGCAUGGAAGCUGAUCUGAAAUUCUUCUUGGAACUUUAAUUAUUCUUUUUGAUCUAGGUGUACAAGUGAUCAACUCCCAAGAUAUGUGAUAAACAUUCCUUGGCUUUUUGCUUUGGAAAACAUGAUGUGGAUUUCCAUGGAUAUAAGGCCAUUUUUAUACUUUCAUUUUGGACUUGACGAAGACUUCUAUGGUAUCUGGAAAAAUUAAUGCAUCUGGGAGGGUUUGUUUUAAUUUGCAUUCCUAAUCCAUUUUUAACUUUAAUCCCCCUUUUCAAGUCUAAUUCAAAAUGUAAGCAUGUUAGCUGAAGUCUAUUAGAAAUCGUAUUAAAAAUCUCUAUGGGGUCUUUGGUGUAUGUAUGCUGAAUUAACAUUGAUGCCAAGGUCUUUGCUAUAAAUUAAUUUUCCAGCACAAAAAAUGAGGACAGCUUGUAAUUGUUCCUUCUGUUUCCAGCCCUCUUCAUGUUAUUCCUCUAGUAUUGUUGUCUGUAAGGGGUUUUUAACCCAGUCCUGUCAAAAGGGAUUGUAGUUUUGGACGUGGGUGCUAUUUCCACUAUCCAUUGGCGCUCCUGAAAGGAUCUUGUUUUUUCCUGAGGUUGACAUUCGUCUGUGUUGCUGUGAUCUGUUUUCUUUUUUUUUUUUUUUUUUAAGAUUUUUUUUUUUAAUGUUUUAUUUAUCUUUAAGACAGAGAGAGACAGAGCAUGAGUGGGGAUGGGGCAGAGAGAGAGGGAGACAUAGAAUCAGAAGUAGGCUCCAAGCUCCGAGCCGUCAGCAUAAAGCCCGAUGCGGGGCUCGAACCCACAAACCGUGAGAUCAUGACCUGAGCUGAAGUCGGAUGCUCAACCGACUGAGCCACCCAGGCGCCCGUCUGUGAUCUGUUUUCAUUUCAUGGUAAGCCUGAUUUCUUCAGAUGACUGACCAUAAAGGUACAUGUUACCAGUAGGAAUUAGAGAGAGAAAAAUGGGACUCCCUAAUUAUGGGCUUCCUAUCUCUCAUGGCUAUUUUUGUGGAGCUGGAUCCCCUUGGUGUGGAUUUCACACAGUCAGUAUACUUUCUGUUUCUGAAAAAGGCAUCCAUCUUACCUCAAGCAUUUAUUCUUAAGUAUUCUACAGAGAGAAAGAACUAUUUAUGGUGACAUCUUGAGUUAACUAUUUGGAUUUAGGCUAAAAAUUAAUUUAAGGAGCAAAUAUUUGUCUUUUCUGAAAACAGCAUGCCUUUACAGUGUGGUAGAAUGUUGGGGAAAUACUUCAGUGCUCUUCAUUAAUUUUCUAAUGCAAGAAGAAUACAUGUUUAUCACAGAAAUCUUAGAAUGAACAGACCCUCUCAAAUUGCCUGCAAUCCCACCAAUCAAAUGUAACCAGUCUUAUUCUUUUGGGAUAUGUUAUUCUAGAUAUAUAUGUGUGCGUAAAGUUAAAAUUUAUAUUGAAGUGUAUACACUUCGCUCCUAGAAUUUUCACUUCCUAAUAAAUCAUGCAUGUUGCCUUGUCUUGAAAACAAAAACCCCACUUGAUUUUAUACUGUCAUUUUAAAGGUUUGCUUAGUAUUUCGUUAUAGGACAUUAUUUAUGUAACUAUUUCCUUAUUUGUGGUUAUCUUGGGUGUUCCCAGUUUUUCACGUUUCAAACAACAACUCUGUGAUGAACAUCCUUAUAGCUAACUCUUUGCCCACAUGAUUAAUGAUUUUCCUAGAAGUGCUUCCCAGAUUUGAAAUUGCUGAAUCCAAGGUUUUUCUUGUUUUAAGUCACAUUUAACCAAAUUUUCCUCUGUUGAGAACUUCCCAUCAGCUCUGGGCAUGGUUGUGCUUUUACUGUUGUGACUACAGCUGCUGCUGUUAUUAUUAUGAUUAUUAUUUAACAUUCUGGUGGUUUCAGUUUUGACCGUGACUCCGUUUUCUUUCCUACCCACUUCUGUUGCGCCUGAUUUGGGCCUUUGGCCAUUGCCUUUAGGGACAAAAAAAUAACACAGCUGGUAGAUAUGUCAUCUGUCUGAGUCUUCCUCAGCUGGGCUCCUGGGUGUAACUGAUCUGAUCCUCUUUGAGUAUCCCUUCUGAGUGUUGUAAGUGUGCAGUGGUAAUGAGUCAUAGUGCCUCUCCACACAGGAGGAGUGCUAAAUAAGUGUUUCCCUUGCAGACCAACCAGGCAUCUCUGGGCUUCUAAGGCAGCUAGGCAAUGCUGAAUAAUUAAUUGGUGUCCAGGGAGAUAUUAAUUGCUAUGGUUGUAUAUUUUUUUGGGCUCAAUGCCAAUUACAGUUUGAUUAUUGAGAAAUCCUUACCAAGGAUAAAAAUGUUUAGAAGUAAAUGUAUUGAUGGCAUAGAUAGGCAUUGGUUCUCAAUAUUAAUAUGGAGGGUAAUUUGGCUUAAUUUUGGGUGAGGCUUCACCAUCUAGAUGACUUUGAUUUUAGCCAUUAACCAUGCACUUGUUGGCGCUGCAAACCGUAAUUAAUUUAGCUCGUUAUUCCUUUUGAUAUAAAAAGCUGCAGGAUAGAUGGUCAUUAAUCACAUCAAGAUUCCUUGUAGGGUUUUGGAAAGAACAUUUGAUUACUGUGUGUAGACAGAAGAAGUGACUGCUGUGCCUUGCCUUCUGGAAUGAAUGAUACUAAUUUUUAGAAUUCUGGCCCCUGACUCUGAGGUGGCAGCUUGAUUCUGAACCCUCAAGAUGCCAUUUACACAAACCUAGACCAGCAAAAUGCUUUGUGUAUAUCACAUGGUUUUUUUCUUUUUUGUUUGUUUUGUUUUGUUUUUAAAGUAAGCUCUUCGCCCAACAUGGGGCUUGAACUCAUGACCCAGAGAUCAAGAGUCCCAUGCUGCCCUGAUUGAGUCAGCCCCCUGCCUUCCCCUUUGAAAAGUAAACUCACCCCUUUAAAAGUAAACUCUACCCCUAACCUGGGGCUUGGGGUUUGGGGCUCGGUCAAACUCAUGACUCCGAGAUCAAGAGUUGCAUGCUCUACCGACCGAGCCAGCCAGGCACUCCAACAUGUUGUGUUCUUUAAUGUCUCGGUCACAGCAUUGGGUGAAGAAAAAAGGGAUUGACAGAAAGGUGCUGAACUUUAAAAUAAGGCAUUCUGUCUAUUGUACCAGCUAGGAACCCAUCUGGAGCAGGUGCUGGCAAUGCCCACUUAUACUGGUCACGCUUAUGCCUGGUAUUUUACUCCACCUCCUCGUGAAAUGAAGGACUUAUGGAUUUAUUGCCAGGUUUUGUAAGAUACUGCUAAGCCUCCCAUGAUGAUACAUGUAUCUGAAAAAGAGCUGUCUUGAUUUGUUCCAAAUAAUAACAUUAUUAAGUAUCACCAUUUCUGAUGUGUGUUACUGUUCAUUCCUAUUUGGAAAUGUCACAAUGAUGGGUGUGUGUUAUUUUGACCUCAUGUGAAGGUUCCAUGACAACAGUAAACAUUCGCAUUGCAGGUUUUCAUAUGUCAGUAAAUCUGGAUGAUGCAAGCAGCCUCAGCCUGCAAAUAAAGAUGUGUUGUGAAAUGUCUCAUGCCAGAUGAGACACUCAUAGCUGGGAUUGGCACAUUCAAGGCCACUGAUGGUGAUGACAGAACUCUCAUUUUAGACUUGACAUCAGAUGGAGUUUGUGGCUCACUGGGUUCUUUGUGUUGCUUGGACUGGGGAAUUAAGACUGAAAAGCUUAUUUCUUCCUGCUGAACGGGAAAUGUACUGGCCCCACUGGUUUAUUUGGGGAGUCACAUUUUUACCAGAUGCCCGUGGGCAAUUCAUGUAUACACACAACGCAACAUAAACCUUUGUUAUUGUU